rnacentral:rRNA from 1 species
AUGUCAGUACUCCCUUUGCCUAUUUGGGCAAUCAAGAUUAUCGAGAGAAGGUGCAGAGGUUUUGUUUGGAAAGGGGAGGAAGACAUAAACGGCGGUCACUGCCUACUCCCCUGGACUCGGGUUUGCAGACCCAAGGAGUUGGGUGGCCUCGGUUUGCCGAACCUUCGAAAUUUUGGUCUUGCAUUGCGCUGCAGAUGGCCAUGGCUGAGAUGGGAGGCUGAGGAAAGGCCAUGGCGCAGUCUGCCGGAAAACACCGAGAAUGAGGUUUCGGCUAUUUUCAAUGCGGCUUGCUAUGUCAAGUUGGGAAACGGUGAGAUUGCACGGUUCUGGACAGAUAAAUGGCUGCUGGAUGGACGGUCGAUUGCUAUGGUGGCACCGACUCUAUUUUCGUUUGUGCAUAAUUCAGGACUCACGAUCAGAGAGGCGAUGCACAACAAUGCCUGGAUACAGGACAUAAGGGGAGGCCUGUCAGUUCAAGCUCUAGCUCAGUACCUCGAGAUAUGGGACAUCUCGCAUGCUACCAUCCUUGAGCCGGAGGUUGCUGAUCGCUUGCUUUGGAGGCUUACUGAAAAUCAACAAUUCUCAGUCCAUAGUGUCUACCGGAUGUUCUUCAUGGCAGGUAUCCGUUUUCCAUGCUACAAACCAAUUUGGAAAUCCAAAGCUCCUCCUCGCUGCAGGUUCUUUAUGUGGCCGGUGGUUCAUAAACGCUGUCUAACGGCGGAUAAUCUUCAGCGGCGCGGCUGGCCGUCUAACACAACAUGUCCGCUUUGCUUGGCUGAACCAGAGGACUGUACGCAUCUCUUUGUAUACUGCAGAUUCACGCAGUAG